UGUCAGAUCCUCCUGUACCCAACACGAGAUGGAGAGAGGGAUGUUUGGAAGGAGAUGGGAGGAACAGGAGAAGGGAAGGAGAAGUUGUGCCACAUCCAUCCCGUCCACUGCAUCAUGCGCGGCGACCGGUUGGGUUCUGGGUCGGGUACUAGGAUUGGUGAUUUGAGUGGCUAAUUUCGAGAGUGGUGUCGACAGCGAGAGGCGUCUAUGAUAAUGGAGGCAGCGACAAGCACAAAUAUGCUGUAGCUUUGAGGGGUGUAGAAGCUAGAGAGAACUGAUUAUGUGAGGAUACAACCCUCGAAAGCUAUGGAUAUUCCUACAGAUACACUGCUGGUAUUGUUCUGCAAUCUGUUUACACGUCAGGGAAGUCGGUUUUCUGUCGUCCUGCUGCUCAUCUACACUAAUUUUCCUCUAUGGAUGUGGUUAGUGUUUGUUGCUGGAUCCAAAAGUCAUCGCCGCCUACUGAUAUGCUGACCUGUUUGUGUCCCUCAACAUACAGAAGAAGUUCAUCCCAAGCUUCAAGACUCUAGGGUUAAUUCCAUUGAAGUCUGCUAUGCAAUGAUGGCAUUGGCAGAUUUCGUUGCAGUAUUGAAAUGUAAAUAUAUUGAACAGAUCAAAUGGUAAGAUUAGUUAGCUUUCUUCCUGAUUACGUUUUCUCUUCCAUUUUCAAUGCUAUGUCUACCACGCAUUCUCAUGUCCAUGGUGCCUUUUUUGUUUGAUGUGAAGUAAAUUUCCACACGGGGUGGGGCAACGAGGUUGUGGCAACUUGGUGGCAUGGCUGCCGAUCAGCCAAGCAAGACCUACUCUCUCUACACCUCCGCAUGGUUGCUUGUUGCUGCUAUCAACUUCUCUAUCAUUGUUGGAAUGGGUCGGCGAUAAAAACUGCAAGUCUCCUUGCGCAUAAUCUCUUUUCGUUUGAAGCACAUUUCCGAUUUGAGCUAAGUGACAGUUUGAUUGAUAUUGGCGUGAUGGCUAAGGUCGAGGCUGCCACGUACUAGACCACCGCCAUGCUCAACGUCGAGGAGUGCGGCAGCACCGUGGCCAGGGCCAUAGCGUUCGGUGCCGAGAACGUGGCCAAGGGGAUCCUAUGGUGCGGGGUGAUAACCGUGAACAAGCUCCACCGGGCGAACGAGGUCAGCCCGGAGAUGCUCGGGCAUAUCAAAAUGCUUCAUGUGCGUAUAUGUGACUAUUUGCUUAUGGUGAACUUGAAGAUAGUCGUUAAGGUAUUCAUGGUGGAGGGAAAGGUUGAUGCUGGUCCUGGUCCUAUUUAUGCAACCGGUGUGGAAUUCAAGGAAGAAGGGCAUUUCGAACAAAGAAAUCAGCUGAUGUAGCAGAACACACGUUCGUAAUUGAUGCACCUAGGCUCAGCUUCUCUACAUUGAUAUGAAGGCCUGGAGCGUGUUUGUUUUGUUUUCAACUCGAGGCGAUCAAGUAGGCCCAUAUAGACACAGUAAAAGAUUGAUCCGAAUGCCUGCAGCGUGUUUGUUUUGUUUUCAACUCGAGGCGAUCAGGUUUAGUGCCAGGCUCCUUGCUACUGUAGCUGAUGGGGAACACUGCUAUGGCUGCUGCACGGUGGCGGGGUUUGGGCAUGCCGCUGGUGCUCCAUCAGAUUGGUGUGGAUGCCUAUGCUCGGAAUCUGUUGUAUCUACGGGUUCCCAGGUCCCCUUGCUAAUUUUAUAGUGAGCUAGCAUUCUAGAUCUUUGGGGGAGGAUCCUCAACGGAGCCUCCAUGGAGGGGAUAGGCACCCAAAGGUGUUGACUUUGAUGUGGCCGUCGUGCCGACCAGAAGUUUCCUCUGGAUCCACACCGCCUAUUUUUUGGACUGGAGAUAUGUUGUCAACAUUUCAAGCAGUUUGCUCGCUCCCAGGGAGAAGGGGUGCCACUUGGCCGGCGAAGUGCUGGCAGCAGGAAGUAUGCCAUCGACAUCAUCGAGAUCCGCUUGAAGGACGGUCGUUGUCCUCUCCAAGAGGAGGGGCCAGCUCAAGGAGGAUACUACUAUGAGAUGGUCUGAUACAUAGAAGACAGACUCAAGCCCCUCUAGGGAAGCAUCCACUAUCCCUGUUCUACUGAUUUCGCCAGAACGUCGACCGCCUAUGCUCCACCUGUGUGAUGACGAAGUGAUGCAUACGGAAACAUGUUUGAUAAGAAUCAGCAUGCCAAUAUGGAAUAUAAGGUGAGUGAGUAUUGUGUAUGCUGAGCCCUCCAAACUUUUUGCAAGGCAUGUAAAACAGUGGAAUGCAGCACUAGCAGAAAGGAAGAACUGUAGACUCAAUCGUGGACUACUUGAGUUAACUAUUUGCUCAAUACAUCAAGAACCAGGCCUCUCCUACUCCUGCUCUCAAAAUGGAAAAGGAGAUCAGGCAACUAGGGAUCUGAGUACUGUAAUUUGAUAAAUUUUGUUUUUUGGGUGCUAAAAUAAUAUGACUAUUAAUGUACAUUUUUCUUAUGAUCAGGCAUGAAAGGGCCACUUUUUCUUAGAAGUGGCUUAUUCUUAGCCAGUCCUUCCAAUUAACACAUUAUUGAUUGGAACAUAAUGAGUAAAUGUAUGUGUGGUUCUUUCUA